UGCAAGUCGAGCGGCAGCACGGGGAGCUUGCUCCCUGGUGGCGAGCGGCGGACGGGUGAGUAAUGCAUAGGAAUCUGCCCGGUAGUGGGGGAUAACCUGGGGAAACCCAGGCUAAUACCGCAUACGUCCUACGGGAGAAAGCAGGGGAUCUUCGGACCUUGCGCUAUCGGAUGAGCCUAUGUCGGAUUAGCUGGUUGGUGAGGUAAUGGCUCACCAAGGCGACGAUCCGUAGCUGGUCUGAGAGGAUGAUCAGCCACACUGGGACUGAGACACGGCCCAGACUCCUACGGGAGGCAGCAGUGGGGAAUAUUGGACAAUGGGCGCAAGCCUGAUCCAGCCAUGCCGCGUGUGUGAAGAAGGCCCUCGGGUUGUAAAGCACUUUCAGCGAGGAAGAAGGCUUGGCGGUCAAUACCCGUCAAGAAGGACAUCACUCGCAGAAGAAGCACCGGCUAACUCCGUGCCAGCAGCCGCGGUAAUACGGAGGGUGCGAGCGUUAAUCGGAAUUACUGGGCGUAAAGCGCGCGUAGGUGGUUUGGCACGCCGGUUGUGAAAGCCCCGGGCUCAACCUGGGAACGGCAUCCGGAACGGCCAGACUAGAGUGCAGGAGAGGAAGGUAGAAUUCCCGGUGUAGCGGUGAAAUGCGUAGAGAUCGGGAGGAAUACCAGUGGCGAAGGCGGCCUUCUGGCCUGACACUGACACUGAGGUGCGAAAGCGUGGGUAGCAAACAGGAUUAGAUACCCUGGUAGUCCACGCCGUAAACGAUGUCGACUAGCCGUUGGGACCUUUAAGGACUUAGUGGCGCAGUUAACGCGAUAAGUCGACCGCCUGGGGAGUACGGCCGCAAGGUUAAAACUCAAAUGAAUUGACGGGGGCCCGCACAAGCGGUGGAGCAUGUGGUUUAAUUCGAUGCA
rnacentral:rRNA from 1 species